UGGAUUCGACGGGAUUUGCGAAACCCAAGGUGCAUGCCGAGGGGCGGUUGGCCUCGUAAAAAGCCGCAAAAAAUAGUCGCAAACGACGAAAACUACGCUUUAGCAGCUUAAUAACCUGCUUAGAGCCCUCUCUCCCUAGCCUCCGCUCUUAGGACGGGGAUCAAGAGAGGUCAAACCCAAAAGAGAUCGCGUGGAAGCCCUGCCUGGGGUUGAAGCGUUAAAACUUAAUCAGGCUAGUUUGUUAGUGGCGUGUCCGUCCGCAGCUGGCAAGCGAAUGUAAAGACUGACUAAGCAUGUAGUACCGAGGAUGUAGGAAUUUCGGACGCGGGUUCAACUCCCG
rnacentral:tmRNA from 1 species